GGAUGGGUGUGUAAAGUCAAAAUUAGAGCAGUUGUUAAAGUGGGUGAAAAAAGAAAUAAUGAAAGCAAAGGAAUUAUAACAGGAGUGCCGUUGAGUGUUAACAUGAAGGACUUAGUUGAGAAUCUGAAAGAAAGAAACAAGGAAGUAAAAGGAGCACGAAAAAUGACAAGGGGUACAGAGAAGAUUGAAACAGAAACUGUGUUGCUGGAGUUUGAAACAAAAGAAAUGCCAAGGGAGGUUUUCUUUGGCUUGAUAAGAUUUAGUGUCAGGGAAUAUGUGCCCAAACCAGUGAGGUGCUUCAACUGUCAGGAAUUUGGCCAUAUUGCAAAAAUGUGUAAAGGAAAAAGGAGAUGUGCCCAUUGUUCUGGAGACCAUGAAUAUGGUAAAUGUGGAGUUGGAGUUAAACCAAAGUGCUGUAGUUGUGGAGGAGAGCAUAGUGUCGCUUUUUGGGGAUGCGAAGUAAUGAAACUACAAUCAAUUAUACAGAAAAUGAAAGUUACGCAGAAAGUAACAUAUGCAGAAGCGUGUAAAAACUGAAACUUGGCUGAGGCCUUUUUUGGAUUUCAAAUUAGAUGGAUAUAUUGCAGUUAGAUAUGAUAGAGAAGAAGGAAAUGGGGGAGGGUGUCUUUCUCUGAUUAAAGAAGGUAUUCCGUAUAAAGUUAUUGGAAGAAAAGGAGAUUUGGAGUAUGUUGCAACUGAAAUAUGGGUGGAAGAGAAGGUACUGUUGAUUCUAAAUUUUUACAAUCCUUGUAAAAAGCUUGAGGUAAGUAAACUUGAAGAGAUAGAUAUGAAAGGAAAUGUUAUUUGGUGUGGAGAUUUUAAUGCACAUCAUUCAUUAUGGGGUAGUGGAAAAGUAGAUUAUAA